UCAGCCGCCGCGGUAAAACGUAGGAGACUAGCGUUAUCCGGAUUCAUUGGGCGUAAAGGGCAUGUAGGCGGUGCCUUAAGUUGGAUGUGAAAUCUCCCGGCUUAACUGGGAGGGGUCAUCCAAUACUGGGGCUCUUGAGGGCAGGAGAGGGAAGUGGAAUUCCCGGUGUAGCGGUGGAAUGCGUAGAUAUCGGGAGGAACACCAGUGGCGAAAGCGGCUUCCUGGCCUGCAUCUGACGCUAAUAUGCGAAAGCUAGGGGAGCAAACGGGAUUAGAUACCCCGGUAGUCCUAGCUGUAAACGAUGGAUACUAGGUGUUGGUGGUAUCAACCCCACCAGUGCCGUAGUCAACACGUUAAGUAUCCCGCCUGGGGAGUACGACCGCAAGGUUAAAACUCAAAGGAAUUGACGGGGGCCCGCACAAGC
rnacentral:rRNA from 1 species